CCUGGAUAUUACUUAAACCGAGACGGGGAGAGGGAGGAAAGGGUGGGCAAAAAAGGUAGGAUAGUUAGAGUAGAAGAGAGUAGGCGGCUAUGGUGUAAGGGAGCUGGGGACAGAGUCAUGAUAAAUUGUGGGCGAUGUGGGAGAUUGGCCCCCGGAGAAUUGGAGCAGGAAGACAUACAUGGGGUAGUCCUAUCUGGAACCACAUGGCUAUGCGAGGAUUGUUAUGAACCUCAUGAGGCGUAUCUGAUAGAAAGAAUAGGUGAGGAGGAGUACUUUGGCGCAGUUACAUCCUGGGGAUUCGGGGUUAACAUGAAAGCCACAGCAGGAAGGCGUAGAGUGGCGAUAGGAAGGAAAGAGAAUAAAAUAGUAGACUUCAGAGAUAGUAGCAAAUGCCCAUGUCAGCCAGCGAAUUGGAAAUAUGGAUCACCACCUCUGGUGAUAAAAAAUUUAAGGACAACAAUGGAAAGAGACACAAGGAGAGAGCCCCAAGUUAUGCUAGGGGACUUGGAGAAAUUUUGGACCAAAGAGGACUUAGAAGAUAAUCAGAUAUCAAGGAAAGAAAAGGAGGAAAGACAGAAAGAGAGAGGUAGGCAGCUAGUGAAAGGAUGGUUUGGGUGUGGCUCAAAAGACAAUGGCCCUAGUGGGCUGCUAGACGCAGGAGUUAGGAGGCAGACGGCACAGGGGCCAGCCUGGAGACCUAUCUGGGCACUAACGGCAACAGAGGAAAGACAAUGGACCUAGCGGGCUGCUAGACACAGGAGUUAGGAGGCAGACGGCACAGGGGCCAGCCUGGAGACCUAUCUGGGCACUAACGGCAACAGAGGAAAGACAAUGGACCUAGCGGGCUGCUAGACGCAGGAGUUAGGAGGCAGACGGCACAGGGGCCAGCCUGGAGACCUAUCUGGGCACUAAAGGCAACAGAGGAAAGACAAGGUAAAAACCAUACAAGGAGAUGGAUCAGAGCAUAAAGGCGAGGGACCUAACUGGUCCAAAAUUGCAGAUCUUACUAGUUCAGUAGUAAGGUGUGAGGCAGCAGCAGGAGACCUAAGAAGGGAGCUGAAAUACAUUAGGGAUGAACUUAUAGGUAUGGUAAACCCCAGAAGUAGGAAGGGCAAGAAGAAGGCCAAGAAAGGCAGGCGACAAUAACAUAAUGGUCUAACCAAUCUUCUCUGAAUUAUAGAAAUCAGAAGCUUCAGAGGAAGAACAGAUGUAUGAGGAAGCAAAGAUCCUAGGAGAAUGGUGUAUGGCUAGAAUGGAGACAUUCAUUAAACAUGGGCAAAUAAUGGAUAGGCCUGACCUGAAUGACUGUUGCGAGGGGCAUAUGUUGUGUUGGGAAAAUACCAGGGAACUAGACUUAUGUGGAGGGUGUGCAUUUAGUGUAAAGGGAAAUCUACAGGGAAGGCUAAAUUGGCAAGGGAAAGAUUUGGAGAGUGUGUGUUUAGGUUGCUUAGAGGAAGCCAGAGAUUGGCCAAAAAUGAGGGUAAUGGUAAAAAGAGGGAUGGCUUGGGAAAUGACCCAGGACAGAGAAGAGGCAAAGUUGAGGGUUGUGUAUAAUGGUAAAGAAAUAGAAUGGGGCAGGCAAAUGGGGAAGAUAGAGUUAUCAGGGCUAAACAAUGAAAUAUAUUACAGAGGAUGGAGCCAGGACUAGGGGAGGAUGGAACCAUCGGUGGGCGUGUUGUUCUAGCAUAACCAAAGGGAAAAUAAUUAGAGACACAAGAUCUGGAAAUAGCCUUAUUACAUUUUUUGUAAAGCUUGCUUUUGUGGUGCAACAUGCAAUAAGUUAGGGUACUGUAAAUAUAAUGAAGAUGAAGCAGAGGACUGGCCCAAAGAUGGGGCAUAUGCAAACAUUGUGGUGAACGGAAGAUUAGCAGUUAAGUCAGUAACGAGUGAUGGUCAGUACCUCAAGAGUAGGUAUUGGUUGAAGAUGGAAGACGGACAGGAGGUUAGCUAUGGCAUGGUACAGAGGAUAGAUGGGCUAAUGUUAGGGGUACGCUAUAAUGGGAGAAUAAUGAGGCAAGGAACUAAGAGAAAGGAGUGUUCAGAUGCUGGAGAGGGUGUGACAAGAGAUAAAAAAUAAUCUGCCCACUCCAUCAAACAAUGGGUACAACACAGGGCAUUCACGGGACCUCAUGGAACCACGGACCGCACCUGCAGAAACUGGACAAGCACCUGCAGAAACUGGACAACAGGGAGAAGCAGAGGAGAUACCUAUCAUAGACUUCUCCCAGCUGACGCUCAACAUACCACCUACGCCACCUCCAGUGGUAGAAACAACCAGCUGGUAUGAUUGAGUGGAAUCAGCCAACAGUAACACGGAAGCAGCAAUGUGAGUGUCAGUAGUGCAUGACCUUGAACGGUAAUAAUAGGAAUCUUCCGUUUAACACACAGGCCUAAGGUUACGUAGGUCUACAGCUCCAGUGGGAACUUCCCCUUUAAAAAGGUAUAUAAAGAGAACAGAGAUCAUAAGACAGCAUGAUCCUCACUAACAUAUGAAACAGACUUCAUAUGGAGAAUCAUCAUAGGUAAAUUUACUAUUGCACUAUAUGCUUUUUGAUAGAGUAAAACAAUAUUUUGGGAACCGGAUAAUUGUGCUUAAGUACUUAUUGGGUCAUACUCUGAAGAAGCUGGUUGAAUCUUGUGAACCUGACUGAGUCUCCGAAAAACAGAGGUCUAACCACCUCUUGAUCACAUAGACAAAGCGGGCGUUCACAUUUUUGACACCAGAAACCAGAGGUGACUAGCAAUUCAAGGAAAAACAGCCAAGUACCAGUUACCAUAUAUUGUGUCUAUGCACAGAGUUGGAAGUGAAUAGUAUUAGGAUAUACACUUUUUGUUGGACUAGAACAAUAUUUUGAGAGCUGGAUAUUUUUGCUUAAGUACUUAUUGGGUCAUACUCUGAAGAAGCUGGUUGAAUCUUGUGAACCCGACUGAGUCUCCGAAAAACAGAGGUCUAAUCACCUCUUGAUCACAUAGACAAAGCGGGCGUUCGCAUUUUUGACACCAGAAACCAGAGGUGAUUAGCAAUUCAAGGAAAAAUAGCCAAGUAUCAGUUACAAUAUAUUGAGUCCAUACACAGAGUUGGAAGUGUACAGAGAUAGUGGAAUUCGGAAUCUAGCGUCAUAGCUGUAAGAAUACCGAUUACGGGAAAGUGACAAAGGGGCUGAGCAUUUAAGGUAAUUGAACUAUUUUAGCUAUUUAGUCAAUAUUGUUAGAAGUGUUAACGCAUUUAAAGUUUUGCAAUAUUAUCUGGCAUAGCUUAAAGCAUUAAGGAUUGAUUGAGCAUUAUUGUUGUAUUGAGAAACUGUAUAACCAUUGAAUUGUAAUGAUGUGUAUAAGACAAAAACUUAAUAAAAGCUUGAAACUUUGACAACUAGGCCAGAUUAACGAUCUGGAGAGCAAACGCCUUUGACACUCUCACUGAACAGAAAGUGACCCUGGUUAUAGGUUAAAGUGAUUGCACUAAAGAAUA